UGGUGGUAAUAUAACGUCUCUGAACGGGACCAUCUAUUCUCCCGACCACCCAGCAGAGUACCCUAACUUCCAGGACUGUCUGUGGAGUGUACGGGUUCCCCCAGGGAAUGGCAUCUGCAUCAACUUCACCGUUCUCAACACUGAACCCAUCUACGACUACAUCACCGUCUGGGACGGCCCUGACCAAGGAUCUCCUCAGAUUGGUCAGUUCAGCGGGAACACGCCCCAGAAAGAGGUCUAUACCACAGCCAAUCAUGUCCUCAUCAAGUUCCACAGUGAUUUCAGCACUAGUGGGUUCUUUGUACUUAGUUACCAUGCAUACCAACUGAGAGUGUGUCAGUCUCCUCCAGCUGUUGCCAACGCAGAAGUCCUCACAGAAC